GACGAACGCUGGCGGCGUGCUUAACACAUGCAAGUCGAACGGAAAGGCCCUGCUUUUGUGGGUUGCUCGAUUGGCGAACGGGUGAGUAACACGUGAGUAACCUCCCCUUGACUUUCGGAUAACUUCAGGAAACUGGGGCUAAUACCGCAUAUGAUCUCCUGCUCCAUGGUGUGCGUUGGAAAGUUUCGGCGUUUGGGGAUGGACUCGCGGCUUAUCAGCUUGAUGGUGUGGUAGUUGCUUACCAAGGCUUUGACGGGUAGCCGGCCUGAGAGGGUGACCGGCCACAUUGGGACUGAGAUACGGCCCAGACUCCUACGGGAGGCAGCAGUGGAGAAUAUUGCACAAUGGGCGGAAGCCUGAUGCAGCAACGCCGCGUGCGGGAUGACGGCCUUCGGGUUGUAAACCGCUUUCGCCUGUGACGAAGCGUGAGUGACGGUAAUGGGUAAAGAAGCACCGGCUAACUACGUG
rnacentral:rRNA from 1 species